UACGUAGGGUGCAAGCGUUAAUCGGAAUUACUGGGCGUAAAGCGUGCGCAGGCGGUUAUGUAAGACAGGGGGGAAAUCCCCGGGCUUAACCUGGGAACUGCAUUUGUGACUGCAUAGCUAGAGUACGGCAGAGGGGGAUGGAAUUCCGCGUGUAGCAGUGAAAUGCGUAGAUAUCGGGAGGAACACCAGUGGCGCAAGCGGCCGCCUGGCCAUGACCUGACACUGAGCCACGACGGCGUGGGGAGCAAACGGG
rnacentral:rRNA from 1 species